CAGCAGCCGCGGUAAUACGUAGGGGGCGAGCGUUGUCCGGAAUUAUUGGGCGUAAAGCGCGCGCAGGCGGUCCCUUAAGUCUGAUGUGAAAGCCCACGGCUCAACCGUGGAGGGUCAUUGGAAACUGGGGGACUUGAGUGCAGAAGAGGAGAGCGGAAUUCCACGUGUAGCGGUGAAAUGCGUAGAGAUGUGGAGGAACACCAGUGGCGAAGGCGGCUCUCUGGUCUGUAACUGACGCUGAGGCGCGAAAGCGGGGGGAGCAAACAGGAUUAGAUACCCUGGUAGUCCACGCCGUAAACGAUGAGUGCUAAGUGUUAGAGGGGUUAAACCCUUUAGUGCUGUAGCUAACGCGUUAAGCACUCCGCCUGGGGAGUACGGCCGCAAGGCUGAAACUUAAAGGAAUUGGCGGG
rnacentral:rRNA from 1 species